rnacentral:rRNA from 1 species
CACGUAGGGGACGAGCGUUGUCCGGAUUCAUUGGGCGUAAAGCGCACGUAGGCGGAUUUGUAAGUCAGGGGUGAAAUCCCGGGGCUCAACCUCGGAACUGCCUUUGAUACUGCAAAUCUCGAGUCCGGAAGAGGUGAGUGGAAUUCCUAGUGUAGAGGUGAAAUUCGUAGAUAUCAGGAAGAACACCAAUGGCGAAAGCAGCUCUCUGGGACGGUACUGACGCUGAGACGCGAAAGCGUGGGGAGCGAACAGG